rnacentral:rRNA from 1 species
GGAGUUAGCCGGUGCUUCUUCUGCGAGUAACGUCACAGAUGUAAGGUAUUAACUUACACCCUUUCCUCCUCGCUGAAAGUGCUUUACAACCCGAAGGCCUUCUUCACACACGCGGCAUGGCUGCAUCAGGGUUUCCCCCAUUGUGCAAUAUUCCCCACUGCUGCCUCCCGUAGGAGUCUGGGCCGUGUCUCAGUCCCAGUGUGGCUGAUCAUCCUCUCAGACCAGCUAGGGAUCGUCGCCUAGGUGAGCCUUUACCUCACCUACUAGCUAAUCCCACCUGGGCUUAUCCAUCAGCGCAAGGCCCGAAGGUCCCCUGCUUUCCCCCGUAGGGCGUAUGCGGUAUUAGCAGUCGUUUCCAACUGUUAUCCCCCACAAAUGGGCAAAUUCCCAGGCAUUACUCACCCGUCCGCCGCUCGUCAUCUUCAAAAGCAAGCUUUUGAAAUGUUACCGCUCGACUUGCAUGUGUUAGGCCUGCCGCCAGCGUUCAAUCUGAGCAGANANACACUACUCANAGAGGCGCGCGACGACGCG